CGGAGGAUCCAAGCGUUAUCCGGAAUCAUUGGGUUUAAAGGGUCCGUAGGCGGGUUUAUAAGUCAGUGGUGAAAGCCCAUCGCUCAACGAUGGAACGGCCAUUGAUACUGUAGAUCUUGAAUUAUUAGGAAGUAACUAGAAUAUGUAGUGUAGCGGUGAAAUGCUUAGAGAUUACAUGGAAUACCAAUUGCGAAGGCAGGUUACUACUAAUGGAUUGACGCUGAUGGACGAAAGCGUGGGUAGCGAACAGGAUUAGAUACCCUGGUAGUCCACGCCGUAAACGAUGGAUACUAGCUGUUCGGAGCAAUCUGAGUGGCUAAGCGAAAGUGAUAAGUAUCCCACCUGGGGAGUACGUUCGCAAGAAUGA
rnacentral:rRNA from 1 species